rnacentral:rRNA from 1 species
GCACAAGCGGUGGAGCAUGUGGUUCAAUUCGAAGCAACGCGAAGAACCUUACCAGCUUUUGACAUCCCGGUCGCGAGCACCAGAGAUGGAGCUCUUCAGUUCGGCUGGACCGGAGACAGGUGCUGCAUGGCUGUCGUCAGCUCGUGUCGUGAGAUGUUGGGUUAAGUCCCGCAACGAGCGCAACCCUCGCCCUUAGUUGCCAUCAUUUAGUUGGGCACUCUAAGGGGACUGCCGGUGAUAAGCCGGAGGAAGGUGGGGAUGACGUCAAGUCCUCAUGGCCCUUACAGGCUGGGCUACACACGUGCUACAAUGGCGGUGACAACGGGAUGCGAAGGGGCGACCCCGAGCAAAUCUCGAAAAGCCGUCUCAGUUCGGAUUGCACUCUGCAACUCGAGUGCAUGAAGUUGGAAUCGCUAGUAAUCGCAGAUCAGCACGCUGCGGUGAAUACGUUCCCGGGC